CCUACGGGAGGCUGCAGUAGGGAAUAUUGCUCAAUGGGGGAAACCCUGAAGCAGCAACGCCGCGUGGAGGAUGAAGGUUUUCGGAUUGUAAACUCCUUUUGUUAGAGAAGAUAAUGACGGUAUCUAACGAAUAAGCACCGGCUAACUCCGUGCCAGCAGCCGCGGUAAUACGGAGGGUGCAAGCGUUACUCGGAAUCACUGGGCGUAAAGAGCGCGUAGGCGGGAUAGCAAGUCAGAUGUGAAAUCCUAGGGCUUAACCAUAGAACUGCAUUUGAAACUGUUAUUCUAGAGUAUGGGAGAGGUAGGUGGAAUUCUUGGUGGAGGGGUGAAAUCCGUAGAGAUCAAGAGGAAUACUCAUUGCGAAGGCGACCUGCUAGAACAUAACUGACGCUGAUGCGCGAAAGCGUGGGGAGCAAACAGGAUUAGAUACCCCAGUAGUC
rnacentral:rRNA from 1 species